GGUCCAACAGGGGGCGCCGCGUUGGAACGCCCAAAGGGGUUGGGGGUUCGGGUGCGGUGGGCGAGCAAGCGAGUGUAUGGCGGCCAGGCCCAGAAGGCCACGAGGACCGCUGGCGCCGAGGCGUCAGUCUUUCAGACUCCAAAAGUAGCAAAGGCCGAGCGAGGAGGUUAGGGGCUCCCAAAGGCCAGCCCUUGGGGCUGUUGAUGGCCAGGCUAACCCGACAGGAGGCGCCGCUGCCACCGAGUGACUGGCUACCAGAUUCUGAAACCCUAAGUGCCUUGGAUGAGUGGGGCUUAAGAGACCACAGAACUGGGUCAAGGAUUAAGCUCAGUGGCACCACACCUGCCUUGCAAGCUCAAGGUCCUGGGUUUGAUCCCUGGUACCAAAAAAAAAAAAAAAAAAUUAGAGGCCACAGAACUACAGCCAGACAUUUGAGGAAGCAGCAAAUACAAAAGACAGCUGAGUGGCCUGGCCAAAGACAGCUGAGAGAUUUGGUGUGGUGAGAGCCGAGGAUGAGCACCACGUGGAUGGACUGGAGGAUCAUCUUGGUCAGCCAGAUCAUCAGGAGGACUGGAGAAGGCACGCCAAGGUGCGCUACCGGAUUGUGGCUACCUGCUGCACACUGGUCAGCAAGGCAGUUUCCCCGCCGCCCGCCCCCGCCGGAUGAAGAUGGCAGGAGCGAGCCACCUCUCGGCUCCCCUUCCCAGCAUCCAAGCCCCGGCGGGCCAGAUGCGACACCUUUUCCCCGGCCAGGGCCACGCUCCUUCAGACUCGAGGUACUGUGCCCUCGCAACAGACGCGACCCGCACUCCACCCUACUCCCCUUUCCGCCCAAGACCACCGCGCAGACCCUGCGGUCGCUUUUCUCCUUCAUCCUAGCGCUGCGCGCCAGCAGCCCAGGAACUUCCAGCCGAGCCGCAGGCAGCCCCGCCGCCUUAGCAGCUGCGCGGAAAGGAUGGCGAUGCCCCGACGUGAUCGAGUCCGCGCUGCCAACCCGAGUAGCCCCCAAGGGUACCUCCAAAAGUUUCUGUACCUCUACCCGCAGCCCUCUUAAGGACCGGCGAUUGGACCAGGAGAGGUUGGCGCUGUGGGGCACUGACAGAGCUCCCAGCACUUCACUUGGUGAAGCCCACAAAUCCAGCAUGCGGCCCAUUCUCACUUUACUUCUUCAGCUUCUAAUGUAGUCACUGCUUGGGCAUUACACAGGAAGAUGGACAACCUCCGCCUCCACCCAGACAACGCUGGCCCCUGCACCUCUUCUCGUUCCAGUGGGCAUUUCCUUCAAGCGAUUGCCAUAGCUUGCUUUCAUAGCGUGACAUUACCUCCCCGUCUUCUCGGCUCCCCGCUGCAUUUCAGCCCCCACAGGACAGCUGUGCCUUUCUCACCCGCUCAACAGAGUAGACAUUCAGGUAAUUGCUGGAUGAAUGGACAGACAGCAGAAGGAUUCACAGACACAGACAAGGCAGGUGAGGCACCGCAGAAGCAGAGUGGCUACUACACGGAGAAAGCAAGCAGGAGCUCUGGGGUGGCCAGAAGGAGUUGGGGCCAGGGGUGUCCCCCAGCUGUCCUGAAUGCAGAAGUGGGGGCAGGACUCCCAACCCUUAGAGCAAACCAAUUCUCUUGGAAGUGUUGGCCCCACUACCAGAACACCCCCACCAGAGUUGGCAGGCUUCUAGGGGCUCAAGGACCCCUGAGUUCCAUUCUUGAGCCCUCUCGGGCUAUGGGCCUGAACGGGCACUAAGGUGGAGCUCGUCUGUGCCUGCUGUGCAGGUCAGGCUGACCAGUGCCAGGGGCUGUCAGUGGACGUGCUGGGAGCCAAGCUCUCCAGGAGACAGCAGGCUGAGGACCUCUGUCCUGCCAGGACCCCUCAAAUGAUACCAGUCAGGCCUGAGUCAUCCAGCCCCCCACCACAGCUGGGGUGUGUGGUGGGAGAGCCAUGAAAAAAUGGCCCAAGAGGCUAAGGGUGCUAGAAAAGGCCAAAACAUGAGAACAGAGUGUGAGGCUGCCACCCAGACUUGCAGCCAAUGCUGGCUGAGGGAUGCAGCUUGGCAAGCAGUGUGAUGGAGAGGGCCAGAACCCCUCCCUCCCUGUUCCUUCAGGCCACCUCUGCAGGCUGUGCCUCUGCAGCUUUUAGCACCCAGGAAAGGAAGGCAGAGCCCUGGGCGUCUGCUCACCAGCUCUGAGGUCCAGCCCAUCCUUGUCCUCAGGCCUACAGCUCUCGCUGCUCCCAGCCCGACUGCAGACCUGGUCUCCCUUUCUCAGCCAUACCGCCUGUCCCACAGCAGAGCUCCAGCUAAGUGCCAGCCAUGCGUGGGUCUGGGAGAUGUCAGCCCAUGAAGAGGCAAGACUCCCUUCCCAUUGGAGUUUACUUCUAGUGUUGAAGAUUGGAAUCAAGACACGUUGCAAGAAGACACUCUGGUUUCUAUGUGCACAACAGUAUCUUUAAUAAAGAAUUGCAGAGGAAAAAAAAAAGAGGAAGAAGGGAGCUGCUGACAAUCAGGUGCCAGGCACUGAAGACGCCAUAACCAGGAUGGAUGGAGACUCUGAGUCUCGUGGGCGAGUAGGCUCCAAGGUGCUUCCUCUCUGCAGACACCACCUUCGAAGUCAGGCUCCUUGUUUAGCCAUUAGCAUCAUGAACCUGACACCCUACCCUCUAUGAUGGGACUCUCCCCACAGCUGUGACUCCAUGUUCAUCCAGGUUACGUGACCUGGGCCUGGAGCAGUUUGACACAGAGGAUCCUGCUACCUGCUACUGUUCUGCUAGCUCGCAUCCUUCAAGUUCAUUACUUGCAUGAAGACUUUCAGAUGCCCACCAGCCUGCAUAAUCCUCUCAUCCAACAGAAAGGAACACCCUGUGGGGCCAGCUGUCCCCCAGGUGCCUGGGAAGAUUCUGCUAAUGGACUUGGAGAAUGGGCUCCGCUCGCUGAGGUGAAUUAGGUUUACCUUCAUUUGCCAACUCACUCAUUUCUAGCCAUUUUUUUGAAGUUGCUGGAGACACUAGAACCUUGCAUGUCUUUGCCUGGUGGCUGACAGGACACAGCUUUGUCCUUUCCACGAGCCCCCCCCCGUCUUGUGGAGACCCCUGUGGGAGUGGCACCCUGCUUUCUAAUGGGUCUUGGGGAGCACUCAAGCAGCUGACGCAUCUCUUAGUGGAUGUCCUAUAUGCCUGAGGACAUGUUUGCUUUUUCUCUCCUUCUUCCUUUCUUCCUUCCUUUCUCUCUCUUUCUCUCUCUAUCUCCUCUCUUACCAUUACUAUAUUUUAACUAAAUUAAGAAUCUGGCUGUGGAACUUGGCUUUUAAGGGCUUCUUAAUUUUAAACUGAGUCACUAAUACUUUAGAGUAUUUUGCAGAAUUCUUAUUUUAAAAGGUGGUACAUUGCCAAAGCAAUUCAUUUUCUCACUAUGAAAAAUUACGCAGGCGGCUAAAGUCUUCUUAAUGCUUGAAUCUGUUUUUCCAAUCAAACUGUGCCACACUCCUACCACCUUAGUGAAAAAGUACACAAAAUCCCUCGGUUUGAUUACCUCCCUGCCCCAGGGAUUGUAAAACAGUGUUGCAGCUCUCUCCUUUGCACCCCCAGGCCUGUUUUCGUUUGUGCCUGCUUUGCUGGUACCCAAGGUGGGAGCUGAGCACUUUGGAAGGGGAAGAAGGGGCCUCUGGUGAGUGUGGUCCCCUGGGCACCCACGCCCCGGAGCCCCUCAGCCAAGUGCUCAGCAGCGUGUGGCACCCACAGGAUCCCCGCUGCGAGCCAGGAGGCAACUGGGUCCCGUAGGAUCCACUCAGUGAGCCUGUGAAGGACAGGGCUCUCAGAGGCCGACCUGUUGUUUUUACUGCUAAGGAGGAAGUUGGCAAUGUUCAGGCACCAGCGUGGCUCUCUAACUAAUAUAAAGACCAGCUCCGGCUGCUUUUCUCAGCCUUUUGUAAAUGAUCUGUGGUCCACACUCCCCUCCAUGUGGAGGACCCGGGUGUGCAAGUCUCUCAGGUCUCCUGCAGCGCCUGCACCCUGUGUCCUCGCACCAGGGAUGCCUGCUAUGCUCAGCUGCUCAGUUCCAGCUUGUAGAGUGUUAAUCUCAUUCCCUUAAAAACUUCAGCGGGGAAUGAAUGCCCAUCACUAGCAAACUGGUUAAACAGAUUACAGUGUGUCUCAGCAUCAUAAUGCUCUGCAGCCAAUAAAAAGAAUGAGGCAGCAGUAUAUAUACAGGUACGGAGUAAGUUGCAAGAUGAAUUGCCAAGUGGAAGAAAGCAAAGUGUAGAGCACUGUGUGUAGAAUGUGCUGCCAUUUGUUUAAGGAAAAUCCAUAUCUAUAUAUCUGCAUCUGUAUCUUUGUAUAUCAUAUCUUUGGAGGACUACAUUGGGUAGGACAGUGACUUUCCUCUGUGGCCCUUUUAUGCCUUUUGGAUUGUUUUAAAACUGUAUGCAUAUUUGUCUACUUAAUGUAAUAAAUGAACAAAAUAUUAAAAACUUGUUAGUGGAUUUGCUGUUUAAAUAAAACCAAU
rnacentral:lncRNA from 1 species